rnacentral:rRNA from 1 species
UCGAAGGUAGCUAAUCAGUAGUCUUUUAAUUGAAGGCUCGUAUGAAUGGUUGGAUGAAAUAUAAACUGUUUCAUAAAAAUUUAUAAUAGAAUUUUAUUUUUUAGUUAAAAAGCUAAAAUAAAUUUAAAAGACGAGAAGACCCUAUAAAUCUUUAUAUUUUUGUUAUUUUAAUUAUAAGGAUUAAUUUAAUUACUAUGACUAAAAGUAUUUUAUUGGGGUGAUAUUAAAAUUUAAUAAACUUUUAAUUUAUUUUAUACAUUGAUUUAUGAUUUUAUGAUCCAUUAUUAGUGAUUAAAAAUUUAAGUUACUUUAGGGAUAACAGCGUAAUUUUUUUGGAGAGUUCAUAUUGAUAAAAAAGAUUGCGACCUCGAUGUUGGAUUAA